rnacentral:rRNA from 1 species
AAUUUUGGACAAUGGGGGAAACCCUGAUCCAGCCAUCCCGCGGGUAUUAUGAAGGCCUUCGGGUGGUAAAGUACUCUUGGCAGAAAAUAAAAGGUAUCCCCUAAUACGGGAUACUGCCGACGGUACUUGCAGAAUAAGCACCGGCCAACUACUUGACAUCAGCCGAGGUAAUACGUCAGGUGCAAGCGUUAAUCGGAAUUAAUGGGCGUAAAGCGUGUGUAGGCAGUUCGGAAAGAAAGAAGUGAAAUCCCAGGGGUCAACCUUGGAACUGCAUUUUUAACUGCCGAGCUAGAGUAUGUCAGAGGGGGGUAGAAUUCCACGUGUAGCAGUGAAAUGCGUAGAUAUGUGGAGGAAUACCGAUGGCGAAGGCAGCCCCCUGGGAUAAUACUGACGCUCAGACACGAAAGCGUGGGGAGCAAACAGG